AUCCAGCUGACGAGUCCCAAAAAGGGCAAAACGCACGUCCUGGAU
rfam:Schistosoma margrebowiei strain Zambia genome assembly, scaffold: SMRZ_contig0001717